UCCCGACGACAAAACGUUUUAGAUUAUUCCGGGGCGAAAGAUGGUUGGAGAUGGUCGCCCGCGGGCCCGAUAGACGUUCGAUCGGCUCGAUGGGAAUUAACGAGACAUGACCGGAGAUAAUUGGAACAGGGAGAUUGGUCCGCGGUUCGACGAUAGUGAAAAUUCAUCGCCGUUUACGCCAGUGACGAGGGAGAAAAAAUAACCAGCGAAAUGGCGGAUCUCGGAAGGUAUUGCCGUGUCUCCUGGGAAUGGUUUAGCUUCCGGUCCGAGGAAGAGCGGAUACUGUUACACGAUCGCCGCUCAGUGCAGAGACCUGCGUUACCACCCGGAAUGAAGAAUCGCUACCUUCGAAGAACAAUCGUAGAUGGCGUGUGCGGUAGCUGCUGGUGCUGUUACACAUUUUUAGUCGACGUAUCGCGGGAAAAUUUCCUAACUAUAAGUUUACGAGAACCGAGAUCUGUGUUAAUAAUCAAACGAAAGAUUAAUGACAGAAUAAGGAAAUAACAUAGGUCAAAUCAUUCCUUGAGAACUAUGUCUCGAAUUACUGUUGUUUUAAGUACUGGAAAACGUACACGAAAUGAAAAUAGAAACAUCUCAAAUUUAAAUACAGAAAAUGGCUUAUAAAUCGCA